AUUAAAAUGGCCGUAACUUGAGAAAUUUUUCCACAGGACCCAUGAACCAGUCAAACCAGUUGUGAUGCCCGAUAAUGCUGGUAAAGUCUAUCACAUGGAGCUGGGACCUCACGGGAUAUGGGUCACCUUCAAAUCGUCAACUAUCAUCUGUUUAUACGACACCCAACACAUGAUCAAACUAUUACAAGUUGAUUAUCCACAACUAUUACAAACAGAACUACCGGUGUCUGAAGUAAACAGAGGAGCUUAUCGUAUCAUAGUGGCCACGCCCAUUGAUGAUUUAUU